GAUGAACGCUGGCGGCGUGCCUAAUACAUGCAAGUCGAGCGAACGGACGAGAAGCUUGCUUCUCUGAUGUUAGCGGCGGACGGGUGAGUAACACGUGGAUAACCUACCUAUAAGACUGGGAUAACUUCGGGAAACCGGCGCUAAUACCGGAUAAUAUUUUGAACCGCAUGGUUCAAAAGUGAAAGACGGUCUUGCUGUCACUUAUAGAUGGAUCCGCGCUGCAUUAGCUAGUUGGUAAGGUAACGGCUUACCAAGGCAACGAUGCAUAGCCGACCUGAGAGGGUGAUAGGCCACACUGGAACUGAGACACGGUCCAGACUCCUACGGGAGGCAGCAGUAGGGAAUCUUCCGCAAUGGGCGAAAGCCUGACGGAGCAACGCCGCGUGAGUGAUGAAGGUCCUCGGAUCGUAAAACUCUGUUAUUAGGGAAGAACAUAUGUGUAAGUAACUGUGCACAUCUUGACGGUACCUAAUCAGAAAGCCACGGCUAACUACGUG
rnacentral:rRNA from 1 species